GACAUUUCUCUAAAACCCUAGCCACCAUGUUCCUCCUUCUUCUUUACGAUUCAACUCAAUAGCAACCGUGAUCCUCUUUUUUCUUAGUUGUUCUACGAUUCAAACCCUAAAUCGAUUUCCCCAUUCAUCUUUUUCAUAUAUACAAUCAAUGUCGUCGAUCAAUUGAAUGGUUAAAGAAAAUACUAGGUGCCUCUACUUUCAGUUUCUCUCUCAAAACCCUUGAUCAACGAGUGCAAGUUCAUGUUCUUCACUUUCAUAUUCAUCAAUCAAGAACAUAGAAGAAUGAAGGUGUGUUUGUGUGACGGCUGAAUCUGAUACAAUUUUAGGGUUGCGCAUGAAGUAGAGGAAGAAGAAAGAUGAACUGUUAAGUUUUGAAGACUUUCGUGGGACUUGGGAGUAGCUUGAAGCCAAUCACUGGUCGACUCGAAGCCUCGAGUAAAUGUGAGGUUGGAAAAUCGAGUUCUUUUCAAUUGGAUAGCAAUUGAUAAACUUGGUCUGCACAUUCAACAAGCUAUGAUAAGUUGCUCCAAUGGAUUUGCUCUCGAUAUAUUCCGGGCUGAAAUUACAAUAUAUAUCGUAUUUAUUUGUUAUUGAUUUAUUUUGUGAUUUUGAUUGUGGGUUUUUGUUUUUGUAGCAAUGCUAAGAGGGAUCCGUAUUUGUUAGAUUUUGCUCAUCUGUUCUUCUCCCACUGAUUCAAACCCUAAUUCCGAUUUAAGAUCAGGUUUUGUUGUGAGUAUCGUGAAUUUUGAGUUAUCUGUUUGACCCGUCUUGAUAUUUGAUCACAGAUUAUCUUUCUUCGUCGUUUGAUUGCCGUGAAGAAGGAAUCAUGUGUUAACUACAAACCUUAAUUGUCGAACUCUCCACCGCAAACCCUUUAUUCAGUGAUACACAAAGGAGUUACAAUUGGUUGGAUUUGCAUUCGUGUCGCGCAACUUUGGGAUCAGUGGAUUCAAGAAGAGCAAUUACUGUGGAUCGGUAGUUCAAGAACAAGCAGGAUUACACUCGUGGAUCUUGCUGGAUUCGAGAAGAACAUAAUCAACGAUGCUGGUAGAGAUUGUGUCAGUGAAGAUGGGAAAAAAGUCAAACGUCUACAUCCUCUAACUAAACCAGAUAUGGAAGAGCUGCAAUCGCGCAUAAUUGUUGCUGAAAAUUUACCUGAUGACCAUUGUCAUCAGAACCUAAUGAAGAUUUUUUUGGAUGUUAGAAGUUUAAAGACGAUUCAUACAUAUCAGCCACAAGCUUCCAAUGGUGGGGCCACUUCAGCAUCAAGAGCAGCAAAAGCCGAUGGUAUGCUUUUCAGUAACAAGUUACAUGCUUUUGUGGAAUAUGAAACCAUUGAGUCUGCUGAAAAAGCAGCUUCGGAGCUCAACAAAAAGGGUAACUGGAGACACAGUUUUAGAGUUCGUUUACUGAGACUCCCUUCUCGGGCAAAACCAGCUCAAACGCGUGGAAAGAAAGCAGGUCAGGAAGAUGAUGCGGUCCCUAAGGAAGAUGACACAUCUACAUCAGAGCAACAUUUACUGAAUGAGAAACAUGUAGAUGACACUUUUCAACAAUCUGAUGUCCAGCCACAUGAACAUGUAGUAUUACCCUUUUGACCCAAAACCAAACCUAUAUCAAAUGGGUCAAAAGUAGCCUUAAAUGGUGGUCGAAAUCCUGAAUUCGGGUCAAGCGUGACGGAUAACCUAUAUUUGAGUCACUAAUAAAUGGGCCUAAGAAAUCAACAAGACGGACCGGAUAUGGCAGGGCGCCUACGAUUCUCAUGCUUUUUCUGACCAGAGAAUUAGCAAAACAGGUGGAGUAUCCAUUUCUCCUCAAACUGUACAGUUGAAAAAAAGGGUGGAUAUUGUUGUCGGAGCAGUCGGUCGUGUUAAGGAUCACAUUGAGAGAGGGAAUCUUGACUUAUGCUCAUUGAAAUUCCGUAUCCUUGACGAAGCUGAUGAAAUGUUGAGGCAAGUCAAAGGGAUAUGGAUGGACAAAGAUAGUGUUGAUAAUUGACCCGUAUUGGAAAAUUGUCCUUUUUGAUCAGUGUGUAGGCCGUUCAAGCGAAGCAUCAGGCCGGAUGAAGACAUUAGUUCAAAUAGCAUAACAGGAUGACAGUUGAUGGAACACCGUGACCCAAAAAGUCAUUUGGCUAAAAAAGGUGGACUUCUUUUUUUCCACGGCUGAACCACAUCACAAGCAAGAGAUAGUGAGGCUGCUCAAGGAUGUUGUUGAAGUAGUUGCGAUGACUAGAGAUGGGGUUAAUGAUGCACCUGAUUUAAAAUUAGUAGAUAUAGGAAUUGCAAUGGGUAUCGUUGGCAUUGAGGUUGCAAAGGAAGCUUCUGACAUGCUUUUGUCAUAUGAUAAUUUUAGCACACUUGUGGUUGUAGUUGGAACAACAUGAUUUGACAUGUCCCAACUUCUUUCUUACAUAUAUUUCAUCAAGCACAGUUGAUUACGUCAAUAGUUUUCUUGGAUGGAUGAGUGAUUAAAUAGCAAAGUCCUUUGAUUGCACUUGCGAUAAUGCCUUCUGAAGUAAUAGCUUUUUGCCAAAAGUAAAUUCUCCACUAGCUUAUAUUAGUAUGAACUUACUUGGAGUUAAGUAUUUGUAUUUAGGCAUGUUACUUUUUUAUCAACAAGAGUGGACUACAAAAUGUGCCAGAGGGUUCAAAGGUAAGUGACACUUCUACUUUGGAGGGGAACAUGUUUAAUCCACUUUCAUUAUUUAAUUAUAUUUUAUGACCAUGUUGACUGUGCUACUUAUUUAGUUUUUUCUAUCGCCAAUUAGAAGUGGGAUUUUCACAUGACAUGUUUGUAGAAUGGGCUACCGAUGUAAGAAAUCUUGUGUUUUUUUACUGAAAGGGGCCAGGUACAUUCUAAGUUAUCUCAUAACUUUUAUAUUUUGUGUUUAGACUCAAGUACCUCACUUAGUGGUCUUAUCUUGCAUAAUAAACAUAUUCUCAUUACUUACAAUUGUAUUUUUAGUUUGGUACUCGUGCAAGAAUGCUUCAAUUAGACCCACCUUCUAAUGCCAUUAUAGUUAACCGAUCUAAAAGGGUUCCACUAGUUCGGGAGGAGUUAGCUACAUACGAAGAAGAGCAAGAAACGAUUAAAAAGGAAGUGGCUUUAAAAGCCACUCUUGUGAAAGAAGAGGAGUUGAAAGCUGUGGUUGAUGCUGAUGUUAGCAAAACUGACCCGAUGCUAAUUGAUGACCAUACAAAAGUGGAUGAGGAACUGCUAAUGGAAUUGACUUGAUGAGAAAACAUGACCUAAUUGAUGUUGUUGAAGCAAGUGUGAUGUCGUGUUCACUUAUAAUAGGGAGCUGUUGUUGCUAUUGUUGACAUUCUUCACAUAACUCAUGCUACGGUACCUACGAUAAGUAAACUAUUUUCUUAUUUUUAUAUGGUUAUCUAAUAUCUCUCUAUAAAUCUAUAUAGUACUAUAAUUAUUUAUAGUUAUUUAUAAUAGCAUUAUAGAAAUCAUUUUUUAUUUGGAUAUAGUUUUAGACCUUUGGUGGGUUAUCUCACUGAGGAUUAUGGGUGUAUGAGAAGUAUUGGGGUGUCAAGAGGUGUUUGGAAGAUCAUGAUGAGCCCAAGGGUUUACUAUGCUAAAAAAGGUUAUGAAGUCAUUUGUGUACAAUAAUAAAAAUGGAGAGAUAAUUGAGUCAACGACCCCAAUGAAUAGGUGUUGUAGCAGGUGCAAAACUUAUUGUUGGCUUGGAGUUAACAUCAAUCAAUAGUGUGGAAAGUCAUCUAUAGUCAAAGUAUCAAGUUGCAGUCAACUGAUAGUCAAGACCCUAGAGGAGAUGAAGCUCCAUAAAGUGAUGGCAACCGGUGGAUGUGGAGUAUCUAUCUUUUUUUUUAUUGCAGCAGUACCAUGAUCAUCAAGGAGCUGGUGUUUUCUCAGUAUUUGGAUCAUUUUUAUAUGGGUCGGUAUCUAAGUAAAAUCCCGCAAGUCAAAGCUAGAAAACAGCCAAUAUAUUUCAAAGAUCAGGCCAUGCUGCAAUAUUUCAUAGUCAAAUUUCAAACAUCUUCUUAUGGAUGGUCAAAAUGUGGCCUACAAAAGUCAAACCUGGUUAGAGUAUGCAGAAAUAGUCAAAGACCCAAUAAGUAUCUUGGGUCAGGCCUUUUAUUGGGCCGGGUAGGACGGAUAAUAAGAUAACAUUGGUUUAGGCAGGAAGGUUGUUAUGGGCCUUUAUUUGUUUCUAAUGGACAGAAAAUGUUUUAAGAUUUCCAGCCAUGAUUUCAAUGCC